rnacentral:rRNA from 1 species
GAGUUUGAUCAUGGCUCAGGAUGAACGCUAGCGGCAGGCUUAACACAUGCAAGUCGAGGGGUAUUCUAGCAAUAGGAGAGACCGGCGCACGGGUGCGUAACGCGUAUGCAAUCUACCUUUCACAGAGGGAUAGCCCAGAGAAAUUUGGAUUAAUACCUCAUAGUAUAAUGACUCGGCAUCGAGAUAUUAUUAAAGUCACAACGGUGAAAGAUGAGCAUGCGUCCCAUUAGCUAGUUGGUAAGGUAACGGCUUACCAAGGCGACGAUGGGUAGGGGUCCUGAGAGGGAGAUCCCCCACACUGGUACUGAGACACGGACCAGACUCCUACGGGAGGCAGCAGUGAGGAAUAUUGGACAAUGGGCGCAAGCCUGAUCCAGCCAUGCCGCGUGCAGGAUGACGGUCCUAUGGAUUGUAAACUGCUUUUGCACAGGAAGAAACACCCCCUCGUGAGGGGGCUUGACGGUACUGUGAGAAUAAGGAUCGGCUAACUCCGUGCCAGCAGCCGCGGUAAUACGGAGGAUCCAAGCGUUAUCCGGAAUCAUUGGGUUUAAAGGGUCCGUAGGCGGU